CAGUCGCCGCGGUAAAACGUAGGUGGCUAGCGUUGUCCGGAAUUAUUGGGCGUAAAGGGCUCGCAGGCGGUUUCAUAAGUCUGAUGUGAAAGCCCCCGGCUCAACCGGGGAGGGUCAUUGGAAACUGGGGAACUUGAGUGCAGAAGAGGAGAGUGGAAUUCCACGUGUAGCGGUGAAAUGCGUAGAGAUGUGGAGGAACACCAGUGGCGAAGGCGACUCUCAGGUCUGUAACUGACGCUGAGGAGCGAAAGCGUGGGGAGCGAACAGGAUUAGAUACCCCGGUAGUCCCUGUCUCUUAUAC
rnacentral:rRNA from 1 species